GACGAACGCUGGCGGCGUGCUUAACACAUGCAAGUCGAACGGAAAGGCCCUGCUUUUGUGGGGUGCUCGAGUGGCGAACGGGUGAGUAACACGUGAGUAACCUGCCCUUGACUUUGGGAUAACUUCAGGAAACUGGGGCUAAUACCGGAUAGGAGCUCCUGCUGCAUGGUGGGGGUUGGAAAGUUUCGGCGGUUGGGGAUGGACUCGCGGCUUAUCAGCUUGUUGGUGGGGUAGUGGCUUACCAAGGCUUUGACGGGUAGCCGGCCUGAGAGGGUGACCGGCGACAUUGGGCCUGCGAGACGGCCCAGAGUCCUACGGGAGGCAGCAGUGGGGAAUAUUGCACAAUGGGCGGAAGCCUGAUGCAGCAACGCCGCGUGCGGGAUGACGGCCUUCGGGUUGUAAACCGCUUUAGCCUGUGACGAAGCGUGAGUGACGGUAAUGGGUAAAGAAGCACCGGCUAACUACGUG
rnacentral:rRNA from 1 species